GACGAACGCUGGCGGCGUGCCUAAUACAUGCAAGUCGAACGCAGUGGGGACGGGUGAGUAACACGUGGGUAACCUCCCAUCAGAGGGGAUAACACUUGGAAACAGGUGCUAAACCGAUACUGAUGGAUGGACCCGCGGUGCAUUAGCUAGUUGGUGAGGUAACGGCUCACCAAGGCCACGAUGCAUAGCGGCCCUGAGAGGGGGAGGGGACACCUGGGGACGUAGACACCGACCAGACUCCUACGGGAGGCAGAAGUGGGGAAUCGUCGGAAAGGGACGAAAGUCGGACCGAGCAACGCCGCGUGAGUGAAGAAGGUUUUCGGAUCUUAAAACUCUGUUGUUAGAGAAGCGGUAUCUAACCAAAAAGCCCCGGCUAACUACUUGCCAGCAGCCGCGGUAAUUC
rnacentral:rRNA from 1 species